rnacentral:rRNA from 1 species
CCAGAAGGCGGGGCGCAAGCCCGCUCAGCCCGCCGCGCUGGAUGAUGAAGGCCCUAGGGUCGUAAAGUCCUUUUCGGCGGGGAAGAUAAUGACGGUACCCGCAGAAGAAGCCCCGGCUAACUUCGUGCCAGCAGCCGCGGUAAUACGAAGGGGGCUAGCGUUGCUCGGAAUCACUGGGCGUAAAGCGCACGUAGGCGGACUCUUAAGUCGGUGGUGAAAUCCUGGAGCUCAACUCCAGAACUGCCUUCGAUACUGAGAGUCUCGAGUCCGGGAGAGGUGAGUGGAACUGCGAGUGUAGAGGUGAAAUUCGUAGAUAUUCGCAAGAGGGGGGGGGGGCGAAGGCGGCUCACUGGCCCGGUACUGACGCUGAGGUGCGAAA